CUUGGAGAUCGCCCAUCCGUGAUAUCUUAUUCUUACUUGACCAAAGACUGGAACAAAAUGAAGUGUAAGACUAAGAAGAUUGUGAUGAAAGUACCUAUGAAUUGCCAGAAAUGCCAACAGAAGGCGUUCAAAAUUGUUGCCGAAGCAGAUGGUGUGAGCUUUUUGGGAUUAGGAGAGGGGAGAGACAUAGUGGUGGUGAUUGGGCAAGGAGUAGACGCCUGCAACUUGGCUAAGAGCUUAAGG